rnacentral:misc_RNA from 1 species
GAAUGCUUAAGCAAUAACCAAUCAAUGCCCAGAGUUAUGUUUGUCGCAAGAUCUGGGUGCAUUAUUUUCUAGAUCUAUAACUGACUGAAGUACAUAAAGUGCUACUCAGCCUGUGGCUAGACAAGUUUUUCCAUGAUGUAGGUGUUGCAUUUUGCACAUAGCCUGUCAAAAAAGUUUGCUAGCUGGUAAUUUAACCCUUUCUUAAGAUUUAUUUGUACCCUUACUUGUGUCUGUUAAGUUGUUGCAGCCUUCAAGGCCUUGGUUUGCACCAGCUUUGCCCACUUUGAUUUUGGUGCUAAAGAAAGAAAAAUGAAAAAUUCUCUUCUAUGCCUGUCUUCGUUCAGUUUUG